UCUGUGGAAAGAGGAAAGAGAAGACAGAUACAAGACAACGCCACUUCCCUAACUGACGCCGGCUGCUAUUAAGCGCAUGCACCGGUGAACAUCGAAAUCACCAGGGCAGGCUGCAACACUCCCAGUCUGCUGGGCCAUUCUGCAGAAAGGUACAACCAAAAUAGUGUGAAUUUGCUUGGGGAAUUGGCAUCUUUUACUCCUCAUAGAGCAGCAGAACCUGGAAAACUGAAACAGGCUGUGCAGCUAUAAAGAAUCCUGGAUUCCAACACUGAUUCCAAAGCCUUCAACAGUGCUGCAGAAUACGCUGCCUCACUGCAGGGGCUCUUUUGUCCAGGUUUAAGUCUGGCACCAAAAGAAGCAAGGACAUGCCUAACACAGGCACUGAGAGACAACCUGGAAGGAAAAGUGCUGCCAAGGAUUGAUGCACACCCCGAUUUCCCCAGCUUUCAGCAAGUCAUCCUCAACCUACCACAGUAUCUCAUUUAUGGAAAAAUAUAAUCACAUCCUUCAAAACCA